rnacentral:rRNA from 1 species
UACGUAGGGUGCAAGCGUUGUUCGGAAUUACUGGGCGUAAAGCGUGCGUAGACGGGCUUGUAUGUCGAUUGUGAAAGCCCUGGGCUCAACCCGGGAAUGGCAGUCGAAACUGCAAGUCUUGAGUACCUAAGGGGAUGGCGGAAUUCCCGGUGUAGAAGUGAAAUUCGUAGAGAUCGGGAAGAACACCUGAGGCGAAGGCGGCUAUCUGGUGGUGUACUGACGCUGAAGUGCGAAAGCGCGGGGAGCAAACAGG